rnacentral:rRNA from 1 species
CGGCGUGCCUAAUACAUGCAAGUCGUACGCUUCUUUUUCCACCGGAGCUUGCUCCACCGGAAAAAGAAGAGUGGCGAACGGGUGAGUAACACGUGGGUAACCUGCCCAUCAGAAGGGGAUAACACUUGGAAACAGGUGCUAAUACCGUAUAACAAUCGAAACCGCAUGGUUUUGAUUUGAAAGGCGCUUUCGGGUGUCGCUGAUGGAUGGACCCGCGGUGCAUUAGCUAGUUGGUGAGGUAACGGCUCACCAAGGCCACGAUGCAUAGCCGACCUGAGAGGGUGAUCGGCCACAUUGGGACUGAGACACGGCCCAAACUCCUACGGGAGGCAGCAGUAGGGAAUCUUCGGCAAUGGACGAAAGUCUGACCGAGCAACGCCGCGUGAGUGAAGAAGGUUUUCGGAUCGUAAAACUCUGUU